CCAUAGAAGUACUUUGUUUCUUAUCUGUAAGUCUUUUUUAGAAAAACUUUACUCCAACUGAAUUCCUU
rnacentral:tRNA from 1 species